AUUCAUAUAGUUUAUAAAACAUUUUAUUUUCAUUAAAAAAAAAGAUUAAUAAUUGUCUUAUGAAUU
rnacentral:tRNA from 1 species